rnacentral:lncRNA from 10 species
UACAGGGUCUCACUCUGUCACCCAGGCUGGAGUGCAGUGGCAAGAUCACAGCUCACUAUAGCCUCAACUUACCAAGGUCAAGUGAUUCUCCCAUCUCCGCCUUUCAAGCAGUUGGGACUAAAGGCACUCGCCACCACACUUGGCUUUUUUUUUUUGUUUGUUUGUUUGCAUUUGUGUAGUAGUACUGGGGUUUCGCCAUGUUGCCCGGCUGGUAUUGAACUCCUGGACUCAAGAGAUCUGCCUGCCUCUGCCUCCCAAAGCGCUGGGAUUACAGGCAUGUACCACCACACCCUGCCCAAGCCCAUUCAUUUAUAAGCCCUGGCUGCGACAUGUUCUCUUAACACAAAGUUGCUGCUUCCAAUUCUGAUGUAUAACGAAGGAGUCAUAAAAAGACACUCGACUCGGCACACAAGGACAAGCCCUCCCAGUCACCAGACCACACGACCUGGAAGACUUCACUUCCCUCCAGGGUCCUCAUUUACAGUGUGGUGACCUCAUUACCCACCUCCCAGGAUAGUUCAUCAUUAAUAAAUGAGCCGUCGCUAGAAUGCCAAGUGCUCCCCACCUGCAGGGGCGCUCCUGUCACCAAGGCCUGAGCUCUGGAGCAUUUGUACAUUUCAUGUGUGGCUGCAUAUGGCAGAAGAAUGUGAGAAUUAGCACACAAUCUUCCAAACCAGACCUAAAUAUGUUUGCGUGUGGUGUCACACAGUUAUGUCUUUUAAGGUCUCAAUUUCCUUCUUUGAGAAAUGACGAAAAUCACAGAGUCUGCCCCUCAUGGUUGUUGUGAGGAUUUAACAUGAUCUUGGACACAAAGUGCUCAGCACAGCACCUGGCACACGGCGACUGCUCAAAGGUGCUGACUGGUGUCCUCUGGUCAUAAGUCACAUGAGCAUUUGGAAACACUGUGUUCCAUUCAUUGAUCUACCACCCUGGAAAAAGAUUUAAAAAUCAAUCAACAAACUGUUCCUGAAAACUUACCAUGGCUUGGCCCUGUACUGGAAGCCAAUAAGACGCACGAGGCGAGGCCCUUGGGCAGUGGCUCAGGCUGUGCAGCACCCAGGCGAACUCCAACCGAUGUGGCCCCAGGGACUCAUGGGGUUAGAUUGCAAAUGGCAGAUCCAAAAUCAUUUUGUAUGUUUUUGGAGGAAACAUUUGUCCCUGAGAUCAUCACUAAAGUGGAAUUUCAUCAACGGUAAUUGCUGGGUACGUCCUUGAUAGACCAGCAAUGCUCAUGCGUGGGUAGCCAUUGUCCUGUGUAUACAGCAUGUGCAGGACUCUUACUUGCUCCCUCCUACUCAGUCUUCAUUGAGAGGGAAGAAAGCGCCCUUGGAGAAGGCCAGAUUUGCAGCCAGAUGCGUGUGAGGCAUGGCUGGGGACCCAGGCAUGGCCGUGUUGGGAUGGCCUGGAGGGAAGUGCCCAGGAGAAUGACAAGAGUCACUUCAUCACUGUCACAGCCAGGAAGUCUCCCUGACCCCACGGCAUGCAGCAUCCCACUAUCAUGGUGAUACAUCUCUGCUGGUUACAUAUGUACCUCCCCCACAGUCUUUGAUCCUGAAUGCACAGCUCUCCCCUAAUCACUAGCCAAGAGGACUCUGCCUGCCUGGUGCUUGAACAAUGUAAGCAAUUUUCCAGACACACUGCCCUCUGAAAUAAUUGAAUGUCACAUGAAAAGGCCAGGAUGUGUUGAUGAGGGCCCAAGUCAACCCCACCAUGGCCAGCAGAAUAACGCAUGGUUAUCUUGGUGACAUCUACCCUGACGUGUCAGUCAUCUGCACCCAUAAGCCAGCACUGGGCGGCUGAAAUACAGACCAUGGAUGAUCCUGUCUGGCCGUUCCCACUACAAACAAGGGACACACGCCCUUUGCGUAGUAUCAUCAGAGUCCUUUGCUAAAGCCAUAAUUGCCUUAAAUAGGAACUGGCAGAAGUGAGGACACAUGAAAUAUGAUUUGAGAAGGUGCCUGGGUUGGGGCCUUACUUGGGGAGAAGAAGUUGAGUUCUAGAUGCUUUAGUGACUUCUGAGUCUGUGUCAGUGUCAGCGCAUUGUCCUUCUCCACUCACGGAAGCUCACAGGCCCUAAACUAAGCUCAGGUGCUGCUGUCCAUCCAAACCCUCCUCACUCCUCUCCUCCUCCUGCCCCUUUGGUCUGACCCAGAUGCGCUCACAGCAUCUUGCCUCACCCUAUCCCUAUGGAUCCUAGGACUGUGAGUGAAACGCCAGUGGCAUCUGAAAGCAUUUAACAUAGAAGCUAGAGCUGCACAGCCGGCCUCGAUUCACACAGCACAGGCUGCUCCGUGGGGUCACACAGGGCCCUCGUGAUAAGAAUACAACCAACAACGGCAUGGUCACCACACUGUAUCAGGAGGGAAUGACUCAACGGUGACUUCCGAGGGUUUGCGGAGGGAGCUUAAACCAUUUCCCAGGAAGGGGGUCGAUCGUGAUCCCAAUGACACAAUCCCGAACUCCAUAAUCCCGAAUGUUGACAUCCCGGAAGAUCAAAAUCUCAACAAGGUACUUCUGGAAAAAAUCAUUUUAAAUUAUUUAAGACAAUACUUAUUACAUUUUAAAAGGGGAUUUAUAAAACAUGACAGAACACUUGAUGCAAUGAAACGGCCCCUAAGAACAUGCAUAUUUUUGCGAGCACAAACGCUCAGGUAUCUAAGGACUGUUGCCUGAGUACAACAGCUAUGAGCAGACGAACCGGAUUCAUGAAAAAAUAGGUGUAAAAGGGAAAUGUGUAAACAACGUCACUGUCAUUGGUCACUAUGUGCACCCAGCUUUAUCCUCCAGUCACCUGAAAUACUGUGGCCAAGAGCCUCAGCCUUUGACAAGACCCAUAAAAAACGAGAUGGGUCAUCUCCACACAUGCGGUCACCCAAGGAGCUGAGAUCUCGAGAAACUUUAUCCUUCACAAACACAGAUGCACAAAAAGGACAUCUCUUCAUUUACGGAGGAAGUUUCAGUGUUUCUGUGUACACACACACACACAGACACACACACACAGACACACAAUGCUUACACACAAAUUCAAGGUUAUGAUCACGCACUUUCGUGGAGUCAAAUUUGCAAAAGAUGCAUAAAACAAAACUUUCUAAAAGUCUCCACACAAUUUACACCUCCGGUAUUGAAGUGAUGUGAAGGUGAAAUACACAGCAUGGCAAAUUGUAAGAAAUAAUGCUGACAAUUUAAAAUGGUGGGAGAAACUAAAAAGAAAAUUCAACCUAUGGAAAAUCAUAUCACAGGGAUGGACUAUUGGCGAUUGCACACAGGACAUGGUUCUCCUCGGAGGAUACGUUCACAUUCAUUUCCAUGUGGCUCUGCUCUUCUGGAAUUCUUCUGUGAUUCAACACACAGCUGCAUGAGCCCUCUUCAACCUUCACAUCUUCUGUGCCAUGCGUCCACAUUGUUUUAGGUAUGAGGAAAUCCAUCUGGAUGCUUUCAUACGCAGACCGUGGAUUGGUGGGAACCGCGCUGGCGACAGAACGGCAAAACCGUUGUGUAGGUGUCUUCUUUUUUUUGUUUUCUUUUUUUUUUUCUUUUGAGACGCAGUCUUGCUCUGUCG